AUUUUGGCCUCAUUAAUUGAAUUGACCUUGAAGAGCUCAGGACCUGGUGACUCAGACCGUCUCGGUUCUGUUGUUCUGCUGAGCUUCUGAGAAGAGGCGAGAUGAAGUCAUCUUGAAUUUGCAUGAAGCCAUCAGCGAGGCCAUUGGCUUGAUUAAAGCAUAAACUAAGGGUUUUCUGGCAAUGUUUCCACUCCUUGGCGUGUUGCUUCGGCCACUGGGUGUGGCUGCAGUGCUAAACCAAGUACACAGACCUGAAGAAGUCCUAAACCAAAGAUCUGCUCAGGAUUGGGAAACACCUGCAUCCUAUGGGUUCAAGUUAAAUCCCCUCUUUAAACAUUGCUGAACAAGUCCAUUUAGUCUCAUCCUCCUCCAUAUUGUUUUGAAUGAAUGAACACAAGGUUACUUUUAUGUGCAGUCAUGUAAAAGUAAUAGUUUGUGAGACCUUGGUGUUCCAAAACAAAGAAGAAUUUGACCACUUCAGGGUCAAAGCGGAGGCAGACCAAACCAUGAUAAUGCCCCUUAAACCUCACACAACAAUGAGUUUUUCCAUUGGUUUCUUUAGAGUUUAUUUAGUUUGACAGGUGCUGAAUGAUUGUUAAGUAAUCACACUUAAAACAUGAGACAAGGUGAUAUGAAAUGAAAAUAGGUUACAUGUCUUUCACCACAGGAGAAGAAGAAGCAGCUUUUCUAGGGGGCAUUGAUUAAAUCCCAUCUAUUUCGUGGUUUGCUGGUUUAAACACCAACCAGAAGUGUCACUUCAGACCUCCUGGCUAGUAACGAGGCAAAAAUGAGUUAGCUUGAUAAGGGAGGCCUACAAGAGGAGGCCCGCUUGUCUCUCAAACACACAGCCCGAGAACAACUGACAUGUGUCACAGGGAAAAGUGCCUACUGUGCAUGCGCACUGCCUUCUUUGUGCUUUAAAAAAUGCUGAACUGUACACUGCAGCUUUCCUCGUUAGCGUUCUUCGCUAUCGGGAUAUAAACAAACUGUUAGCCCUAAAAUAUAGUCUCCAAAACACACAUUAGGGACUUGAAACAGAUCCUACCUGCACUGCCGUACGACUUCGCCAGCAGCCAUCCAACACUUGCGCAUAUUUUUGCUUUAGUGCAGUCAUAUAAAUCCAAUGGCUUUAUGUCUGGAACCACAAAAGUCUUCCUCAUGGUGGGAGAGUCCACCAUGGCGAGCCGAUGAUCCCACACGACGAAGCGAGGGCUGGAAAAAUACGGAUGUGGUACCGCGUUUUCCCAAGUAAAUAUCCGCCCCGUCCUGAUUCCAAGCCAAAAAAAAAAAACCUUCUCUGUCCGCAUUGCCGUGUUGUCAGUUCACCGAACAGUCCCAUUCUGCCCAGUGGAUGACUGACGACCAGGUGCUCCACACUGACACCGCUCUAACAGCCCGCCAGCCAAUAGGAAUUGCGCACGAGCUCUGAGGGCGGGAUCUCUGUCCCUGAAGAUGGCAGGUAGAGAUGAGGAUGUCUUUACUACAGGUGCAUCGAAGAGACAG